rnacentral:rRNA from 1 species
UACGUAGGGCGCAAGCGUUUAUCCGGAAUUAUUGGGCGUAAAGAGCUCGUAGGCGGUUUGUCGCGUCUGCCGUGAAAGUCCGGGGGCUCAACUCCGGAUCUGCGGUGGGUACGGGGCAGACUAGAGUGCAGUAGGGGGAGACUGGAAUUCCUGGUGUAGCGGUGAAAUGCGCAGAUAUCAGGAGGAACACCGAUGGCGAAGGCAGAUCUCUGGGCCAUUACUGACGCUGAGGAGCGAAAAGCAUGGGGGAGCGAACAGG